UAAUGCAGACAUGCCAUCUGCCAUUUUUGUCCAUCUUUUCUUACAGAAUUUGUUUCAGCUGCAUACUCUGUACACUCUAAAACAUGUUGGGUUAUUUUUUCUACCCAAACGCUGGGUUGAGCCGUUUGGGUCAUUUUAUUGGUUAUUUUCUCAGUGUUGAGUAGUUUUAUGUGUAACCCAGUCAUUGGGUCAUUUUCACUGACAGUUGAAACAGUGCACCCCUCCAAUCCAAAUUGUUGGAUUCGUUUGGAGAAACGAGUUUUUUAUCUAUAAAACCAUUACUGUACACUAGAAAAUGCAAAAGUAUGCAAAAUAGGACAGUUCACAAACAGUUCACAGUUCUCAAAUUCCAGUAUUAUGACAUCAUCAUAAGUGAAGGGCUACAGCAAUAGAAACCUGCCUCUUACAGUUGUGUAGCUGCACAGCUACUGGGUUAAACACUCUUUAAAUAAAGGCUGAAGACAGGGGAUUGCCUUUGAAAUUUUUACUGGAAGUUAAUGCACUACUGAUUUGUCAUUUUCAGAUUUCACAAGACUUCUCAUGUUGAUCCCCGACCAUGCAGAGAGGAUAUAUGCAACGUGGACCUUGAGUUUUAAAGACAAAAUCCUGCGCUUCACCAGCCAGGAGAGGAAGUCUCAGGAGCUUCUCUCCAACAUAGACAAUUUGCCUCCAGAAGCCCAAGAUGAUGUUUCACUCAGACUGCUUCCUUUGAUCUUGCCAACCCCUGUCUACAAAAGUGGGAAGAAAAUGUUCAAAACAAAUUUGGAAGAAAAAGUCUUUCAUUGAAUUCAAGUAUUGCGCUUUUAAGUAUUUUAAGUGCGCUUUUAAGUCCUCGUGGUCGCGCUCAAUCCGGGUGGCGGAGGAUGAAUCCCAGUUGCCUCCGCGUCUGAGACCAUCAACCCGUGCAUCUUAUCACGUGGCUUGUUGAGCGCAUUGCCACGGAGACAUAGCACGUGUGGAGGCUUCACAUCUCAACUUGCCACGCGCCCCACCGAGAAUGAACCACAUUAUAGCGACCACAAGGAGAUUACCCCAUGUGACUCUACCCUCCCUAGCAACCGGGCCAAUUUGGUUGCUUAGGAGACCUGGCUGGAGUCACUCAGCACGCCCUGGGAUUCGAACUAGCGAACUCCAGGGGUGGUAACCAGCGUAUUUUACCACUGAGCUACCCAGGCCCCCUUUUCUUCUGUUCUUAACAGGUUGGGACCAACAUGGUUGAAUACUUAGGGGAGGCUGAGAUCGCUAAACCCAUCCCCUUUGUCCUUGGCCUCAGAGACAACAGUCAGUGCCAUCAAGCCUUUGUUGUUGCUGGCAGACAGGCACUAGAGCAAAACACUCUCCAUGGUGCUGUGGACACAUGCUUUAAACUUUUUGAUAUUUUGGACAUUAAUUUCCCAAAGCAGUGUGCACCAGUGUGGGAGUUUCUGCAGACCGUUGUCUAUAAACUCCCAGGAACAGAAUCCCCUUCAAUGAGACUGCUGUGUGGUUAUUUUUCAUGCUAAGCAGGACUGGAACCACAACAUUUGUUAUGUGAGUUUGUAUGAUGAAGAAAGUUGUCAAACCUACCUUAAUAAUUUUUUAUAUAUAUCUUAGUCUUUUUAGCUGUCUGAUGCUCCAGUAUCUUCACCAGCUGGAUGCAGACAUAAAUUUGACCAAGCCGAUAAUGCAUUUUUAUAUUUUUGCCAUUGUGUUCUUGUGCAACUUUAUGUUUACCUCAUUGUAGUAAUGUUAAUGUACUUUUGAAACAAAGCUAUUAAUGUCAUUUUAAAAGAUUUGUG